CCUACGGGGGGCAGCAGUGGGGAAUAUUGGACAAUGGGGGCAACCCUGAUCCAGCCAUGCCGCGUGUGUGAAGAAGGCCCUCGGGUUGUAAAGCACUUUCAGUGAGGAAGAACGCCUGGUGGUUAAUACCCAUCAGGAAAGACAUCACUCACAGAAGAAGCACCGGCUAACUCCGUGCCAGCAGCCGCGGUAAUACGGAGGGUGCGAGCGUUAAUCGGAAUUACUGGGCGUAAAGCGCGCGUAGGUGGCUUGAUAAGCCGGUUGUGAAAGCCCCGGGCUCAACCUGGGAACGGCAUCCGGAACUGUCCAGCUAGAGUGCAGGAGAGGAAGGUAGAAUUCCCGGUGUAGCGGUGAAAUGCGUAGAGAUCGGGAGGAAUACCAGUGGCGAAGGCGGCCUUCUGGACUGACACUGACACUGAGGUGCGAAAGCGUGGGUAGCAAACAGGAUUAGAUACCCUAGUAGUC
rnacentral:rRNA from 1 species